UACGAAGGGGGCUAGCGUUGUUCGGAUUUACUGGGCGUAAAGCGCACGUAGGCGGAUCUUUAAGUCAGAGGUGAAAUCCCAAGGCUCAACCUUGGAACUGCCUUUGAUACUGGAGAUCUUGAGUCCGGGAGAGGUGAGUGGAACUGCGAGUGUAGAGGUGAAAUUCGUAGAUAUUCGCAAGAACACCAGUGGCGAAGGCGGCUCACUGGCCCGAUACUGACGCUGAGGCACGAAAGCGUGGGGAGCAAACAGG
rnacentral:rRNA from 1 species